rnacentral:rRNA from 1 species
AGUGAACGCUGGCGGCGUGCCUAAUACAUGCAAGUCGAACGGAGUGGCGCACGGGUGAGUAAUAUAUAUCUAAUCUGCCCCUUGCUGGAGGGCCACAGUUAGGACUCACUGCUCAUACUCGAUAGCAAGGGAUGAGACUAUAUCGUAUCAGCUAGUCGGGUGGGUAACGGCCUACCGAGGGUAUGACGCGUAACUGGUCUGAGAGGAUGAUCAGUCACAUUGGAAGUGAGACACGGUCCAAACUCCUAGGGGAAGGAGCAGUAGGGUAUAUUGCGCAAUGGGGGUAACCCUGACGCAGCAACGCCGCGUGGAGGAUGACACUUUUCGGAGCGUAAACUCCUUUUGUUAGGGAAGCGGUACCUAACGAAUAAGCACCGGCUAACUCCGUGCCAGCAGCCGCGGUAAUAC